AUCAUAGCGGAGGAAAAGAAACCAACAGGGAUUGCCCCAGUAACGGCGAGUGAAGCGGCAACAGCUCAAAUUUGAAAUCUGGCCCCAGGCCCGAGUUGUAAUUUGCAGAGGAUGCUUUUGGCGCGGUGCCUUCCGAGUUCCCUGGAACGGGACGCCAUAGAGGGUGAGAGCCCCGUACGGUUGGACACCAAGCCUUUGUAAAGCUCCUUCGACGAGUCGAGUAGUUUGGGAAUGCUGCUCUAAAUGGGAGGUACAUUUCUUCUAAAGCUAAAUAUUGGCCAGAGACCGAUAGCGCACAAGUAGAGUGAUCGAAAGAUGAAAAGCACUUUGAAAAGAGGGUUAAACAGCACGUGAAAUUGUUAAAAGGGAAGCGCUUGUGACCAGACUUGCGUCCGGUGAAUCACCCAGCUCUCGCGGCUGGGGCACUUCGCCGGCACAGGCCAGCAUCAGCUUGCCGUCGGGGACAAAAGCUUCAGGAACGUAGCUCCUCUCGGGGAGUGUUAUAGCCUGUUGUAUAAUACCCUUCGGCGGGCUGAGGUACGCGCUCCGCAAGGAUGCUGGCGUAAUGGUCAUCAGCGACCCGUCUUGAAACACGGACCAAGGAGUCAACCUUAUGUGCGAGUGUUUGGGUGUUAAACCCCUACGCGUAAUGAAAGUGAACGCAGGUGAGAGCUUCGGCGCAUCAUCGACCGAUCCUGAUGUUCUCGGAUGGAUUUGAGUAAGAGCAUAUAGGGUUGGACCCGAAAGAAGGUGAACUAUGCGUGUGUAGGGUGAAGCCAGAGGAAACUCUGGUGGAGGCUCGCAGCGGUUCUGACGUGCAAAUCGAUCGUCAAACAUGCGCAUGGGGGC
rnacentral:rRNA from 1 species